UGUCUUCGGGGCGGGGUGCAAUUCCCCACCGGCGGUAAGCGCAGUUUGCGCAAAGCCCGCGAGCGAAAGCUGAUUUGGUGUGAUUCCAAAGCCGACGGUAUAGUCCGGAUGAAAGAAGAU
rnacentral:ncRNA from 1 species